UAAAGAAGAGUUGUUAACCACUAAGCCCAAAUUGGAUUUUAUACUAGGGUUUUAGAGAUUGAAGAUUAGUGUUGUCAUUUGGGAGAAAACAAGAAUAGAAGAGAAGGAGACUAUGGCUUGAAGAAGAUAUUCCAAGCUUGGAGAUUUCAUCCAUGGUGUCAAGUUUAUGAUGCAAUUGGAGACCCAUAGAGUUGCUUCCAUUGAUAAGGUAUUCAAGUAUGAAGAUUUAGUUGUCGUUACUCGAGUCGGUUGUCGCUCUGAUACGUAGCACUCUGGGGGGAACGAUUUAUGUCAUUCAUGAUGUUGUUGUUUAAUUGUGUUAUCUUGGUUGAACAAAAAUGAUAAGUUAACUGAAGAUAUUUUAUUGAAUACUUGUUUAAGUGAUUCCGCUGUGUUUUAAUAAAAUAAGUUAUUCUGUUUCAAA